rnacentral:rRNA from 1 species
AAAGGAAUAGACGGGGGCCCGCACAAGCAGCGGAGCAUGUGGUUUAAUUCGAAGCAACGCGAAGAACCUUACCAGGACUUGACAUCGUCUGCUAGUUCAAGAGAUUGGACCUUCCCUUCGGGGACAGAUAGACAGGUGGUGCAUGGUUGUCGUCAGCUCGUGUCGUGAGAUGUUGGGUUAAGUCCCGCAACGAGCGCAACCCCUGUAUUUAGUUGCCAUCAGGUAGAGCUGGGCACUCUAGAUAGACUGCCGUAGAGAAUACGGAGGAAGGUGGGGAUGACGUCAAAUCAUCAUGCCCCUUAUGUCCUGGGCUACACACGUGCUACAAUGGUCUGUACAACGGGAAGCGAAGGAGUGAUCUGAAGCCAAUCCCAAAAAACAGAUCCCAGUUCGGAUUGCAGGCUGCAACUCGCCUGCAUGAAGUCGGAGUUGCUAGUAAUCGCGGAUCAGCAUGCCGCGGUGAAUGCGUUCCCGGGCCUUGUACACACCGCCCGU